rnacentral:piRNA from 1 species
UGAAUGACUAGAGUUUCGUUUGUGUGGCAG